rnacentral:rRNA from 1 species
AAGCCCCCAACAAGUACUAUAAACUAAUACUAAUGCUUUAGAGUUAUUCAAAUAAGGUACAGCCUGUUUGAACAAGGAAACAACCUGAACUAAUGGGUUAGUUUUGCCAUAAUGUACCAAAGUGGGCCUAAAAGCAGCCAUCUUAUAAAAAUAGCGUCAAAGCUUUCCUACAUGCGCACACCAAUUUCUUAACCUAAUCUAAACCCUUUAUUUUCAUCGAGUACUUCUAUACACCUAUAGAAUAUAAAAUGUUAAAACUAGUAACAAGAAGAAAAUUCUUCUCUUAAAUGUCAGUGUAAGCCAGAAAGGAUAAACCACUGUCAAUUAACACUAAUGAUUUUUAAUUAGUAACACCACAAGAAACCCCUAAUAAAACAAAUGUUAAACUGACACAAGAACAUUUCAAGAAAGAUUAAAAGAAAAAGAAGGAACUCGGCAAAUACCAACCCCGCCUGUUUACCAAAAACAUCGCCUCUUGACAAACAUAAGAGGUCCAGCCUGCCCAGUGACCUAGUUCAACGGCCGCGGUAUCCUAACCGUGCGAAGGUAGCGUAAUCACUUGUUCUUUAAAUGAGGACUAGUAUGAAUGGCACCACGAGGGUUACACUGUCUCCUUUUUUUAAUCAGUGAAACUAAUCUUCCCGUGAAGAAGCGGGAGUUUUUUUAUAAGACGAGAAGACCCUAUGGAGCUUUAAACAAAUUUACACUUGCUGCCUAAAAUUACUCUUCCAGAAACACAAUAUACAGCAUAGCAUCAUGAUUAAUAGUUUUCGAUUGGGGUGAUCACGGAGUAAAAAAUAACCUCCAUGCCGAAGGGGCCCUCCCCUGAGCAAAAAGCCACAACUUUAAGCACUAAAAAAAUUAACGUUUAUUGACCCAAUAUUUUGAUCAACGAACCAAGUUACCCUAGGGAUAACAGCGCAAUCCACUUCAAGAGCUCCUAUCGACAAGUGGGUUUACGACCUCGAUGUUGGAUCAGGGUACCCCAGUGGUGCAGCCGCUACUAACGGUUCGUUUGUUCAACGAUUAAAACCCU